UACGGGGGGUGCGAGCGUUGUCCGGAAUCACUGGGCGUAAAGGGCGCGUAGGUGGUCUGAUAAGGGUGUGGUGAAAGCCCGGGGCUCAACCCCGGGUCGGCCGUGCCGACUGUUGGACUAGAGUGCUGUAGGGGCAGGCGGAAUUCCGGGUGUAGCGGUGGAAUGCGUAGAGAUCGGGAAGAACAUCAGUGGCGAAGGCGGUCUGCUGGGCCGUUGCUGACGCUGAGGCGCGACAGCGUGGGGAGCGAACCGG
rnacentral:rRNA from 1 species